rnacentral:rRNA from 1 species
GUGGGGAAUCUUGCGCAAUGGGCGAAAGCCUGACGCAGCCAUGCCGCGUGAAUGAUGAAGGUCUUAGGAUUGUAAAAUUCUUUCACCGGGGGCGAUAAUGACGGUACCCGGAGAAGAAGCUCCGGCUAACUUCGUGCCAGCAGCCGCGGUAAUACGAAGGGGGCUAGCGUUGCUCGGAAUUACUGGGCGUAAAGGGCGCGUAGGCGGACAGCUUAGUCAGAGGUGAAAGCCCAGGGCUCAACCUUGGAAUUGCCUUUGAUACUGGCUGUCUUGAGUUUGGGAGAGGUGAGUGGAACUCCGAGUGUAGAGGUGAAAUUCGUAGAUAUUCGGAAGAACACCAGUGGCGAAGGCGACUCACUGGCCCAAUACUGACGCUGAGGCGCGAAAGCGUGGGGAGCAAACAGGAUUAGAAACCCGGGUAGUCC